rnacentral:lncRNA from 1 species
UGCAAUUGCCACUCUAUAUGGAUACCACUUUCUAUCUUACUACUAUCACAAUAAACAACUAGAACAUAAAGGAAUAAAUUGGAGGAUUACAUGAGGAUGUUGAUACUUGACUUACCUCAUGCUUGAAAUUUGUAUAGGUGCUUACCUAGACUGGUUAAUUAAUGAAAUUAAUAUUACUGCUAAAACUUCACUUGUAAGUAUAAAUUAUAUUAUUAGUAAGCUUUCAAAAGAAACAAUAGAUAGCAAACAAAAAGCCUUUCACAUUCUUUGAGAGUUAGGAGACUCCUCCCACCCUAGUCGGGUAAGUCUUGUUGAAUACACUCCAAUACUUAGGGUUUUAUCCCCCUGUUGUAGGUGGAAGGUGGAUCUAGGAGCUAAACAGUGUGUGGAUACCUCUCCUAGUGGGC